GGAACAGGGGGGGCCCGGGGGGGGACCCCGCCGUUCCCGAGGCCGAGGCUGCCGUACCCGAGAAUCGACGGGCUUCAUAUUUACACGUACCGGGCUUUUAUUGACGCCGUUAACUUUUACCUCGAGAUGUGUGACAUUUCCGAUCUCUUCCAUGUAAGAGGUAUGCCGCUCCAUGAUCUCAGUCGAAUUAGUGACAGAAACCGAAAGUGGCGGAAAAUGGAAGAAGAUGACAGUGUGUUUGUUUACAGAGAAGGAACACUGGAUCAAGCUACAUUCAAUCUUUAUCACCCUGCUAGUAAGAGCAUCAGCAACAAUGCCAAUAACGGCGGCAGCGGCGGCGGUCACAAUUCGAUCCUUAUUCGGGAUAAGGGAAGCAAUACCCCUGCCAGCUGCAUUGUUCCUUUGAAAGAUAUCAUAGUAUGAGAGUGAUACUCAUCAAGGUUGUAACUUGGAAGAAUAUAAGCAACAAAAACCUCACACAAUUAUCUUCAUUUUAUAAACCCAAAAUUUUGCUUUCCCCA